AGGGGUCGAGCACGAGAACAGAAAGCAGAAGAAGAAGGAGGAAUAAGAUACAAGAUUGAGCAGUAUAAGAAUAUGUUACUACUGGCAGAAGAGUUGAACCUUGAACCACCAAAACCUAUUCACCAGUAAAUAAUGGUUUAACAAACGAAAUAUGGAUGUUUAGAAUAACUAUAUAAUAAAUAUAAAUAAUUUGUCCGAUCAUAA